GUCCACGCUGUAAACGAUGGCCACUCGGCCUUUGGUGGCGGAAUCUCCGUCCGUGGGGGCCUUAGCUAACGCGGGAAGUGGCCCGCCUGGGAACUACGAGCGCAAGCUUAAAACUCAAAGGAAUUGACGGGGGCCCGCACAAGCAGCGGAGCGUGUGGUUUAAUUCGACGCAACGCGCAGAACCUUACCCAGGUUGGACAUGCCCCUGCAAGCUGCGGAAACGCAGUCGCCUUCGAGGGUGGGCACAGAUGCUGCAUGGCUGUCGU
rnacentral:rRNA from 1 species